rnacentral:tRNA from 1 species
GGGGCCGUAGCUCAUUUGGGAGAGCGAUUCCCUUGCACGGAAUAGGCAACAGGUUCGAUCCCUGUCGGCUCCACCA